UCCUUUCAGAUGAUCAUUCCCGGGUGAGGCUGCAGACAAUUGAAGGAGACACCAACUCAGACUAUAUCAAUGGAAAUUAUAUCGAUGGUUAUCAUCGACCCAACCAUUAUAUUGCUACCCAAGGGCCCAUGCAAGAGACCGUCUAUGACUUCUGGCGGAUGGUGUGGCAUGAGAACACUGCAAGCAUAAUAAUGGUGACCAACCUUGUGGAAGUGGGAAGGGUAAGCUGGCCGUGCACCACUAUAAAUGCCCUUCUGUUCUUUGCUUAAUUAGUAAUAAAAAGUAAGGCAUGGGCCAACCUCCUGAAGUAUUGUAUCUGCUCCACAAAACAGUACCUACUCCAGCUCCUCCUAUCACUUGCUUCUCUUGCUUAUAAAUUACCAGUAAACAUAGCCUGAAUCCCGAAUUGCUUUUAUUUGCAACAGACAGGAAAAGCACUCAAUAUU